rnacentral:rRNA from 2 species
AGAGUUUGAUCAUGGCUCAGAUUGAACGCUGGCGGCAGGCCUAACACAUGCAAGUCGAGCGGUAGCACAGAGAGCUUGCUCUCGGGUGACGAGCGGCGGACGGGUGAGUAAUGUCUGGGAAACUGCCUGAUGGAGGGGGAUAACUACUGGAAACGGUAGCUAAUACCGCAUAACGUCGCAAGACCAAAGUGGGGGACCUUCGGGCCUCAUGCCAUCAGAUGUGCCCAGAUGGGAUUAGCUAGUAGGUGGGGUAACGGCUCACCUAGGCGACGAUCCCUAGCUGGUCUGAGAGGAUGACCAGCCACACUGGAACUGAGACACGGUCCAGACUCCUACGGGAGGCAGCAGUGGGGAAUAUUGCACAAUGGGCGCAAGCCUGAUGCAGCCAUGCCGCGUGUGUGAAGAAGGCCUUCGGGUUGUAAAGCACUUUCAGCGGGGAGGAAGGCGAUAAGGUUAAUAACCUCAGCGAUUGACGUUACCCGCAGAAGAAGCACCGGCUAACUCCGUGCCAGCAGCCGCGGUAAUACGGAGGGUGCAAGCGUUAAUCGGAAUUACUGGGCGUAAAGCGCACGCAGGCGGUCUGUCAAGUCGGAUGUGAAAUCCCCGGGCUCAACCUGGGAACUGCAUUCGAAACUGGCAGGCUAGAGUCUUGUAGAGGGGGGUAGAAUUCCAGGUGUAGCGGUGAAAUGCGUAGAGAUCUGGAGGAAUACCGGUGGCGAAGGCGGCCCCCUGGACAAAGACUGACGCUCAGGUGCGAAAGCGUGGGGAGCAAACAGGAUUAGAUACCCUGGUAGUCCACGCCGUAAACGAUGUCGAUUUGGAGGUUGUGCCCUUGAGGCGUGGCUUCCGGAGCUAACGCGUUAAAUCGACCGCCUGGGGAGUACGGCCGCAAGGUUAAAACUCAAAUGAAUUGACGGGGGCCCGCACAAGCGGUGGAGCAUGUGGUUUAAUUCGAUGCAACGCGAAGAACCUUACCUGGUCUUGACAUCCACAGAACUUACCAGAGAUGCAUUGGUGCCUUCGGGAACUGUGAGACAGGUGCUGCAUGGCUGUCGUCAGCUCGUGUUGUGAAAUGUUGGGUUAAGUCCCGCAACGAGCGCAACCCUUAUCCUUUGUUGCCAGCGGUCCGGCCGGGAACUCAAAGGAGACUGCCAGUGAUAAACUGGAGGAAGGUGGGGAUGACGUCAAGUCAUCAUGGCCCUUACGACCAGGGCUACACACGUGCUACAAUGGCAUAUACAAAGAGAAGCGACCUCGCGAGAGCAAGCGGACCUCAUAAAGUAUGUCGUAGUCCGGAUUGGAGUCUGCAACUCGACUCCAUGAAGUCGGAAUCGCUAGUAAUCGUAGAUCAGAAUGCUACGGUGAAUACGUUCCCGGGCCUUGUACACACCGCCCGUCACACCAUGGGAGUGGGUUGCAAAAGAAGUAGGUAGCUUAACCUUCGGGAGGGCGCUUACCACUUUGUGAUUCAUGACUGGGGUGAAGUCGUAACAAGGUAACCGUAGGGGAACCUGCGGUUGGAUCACCU